CGAGUUGUUAAAUAUCGUAAUUCGCGUCAGCCAAUGUCAGUCACUGGUGCAAUAACAAUAAACAAUAUUUUCAAAAGUACGUAGCUAUAAUAAACUGUAUCGAAGGAAUUUGUUAGGUUUUUUUUUUUCCCUCCCAGGCCAGGCCUACACGAAUCACGGAAUACUAAAUAAUAUUAUUAUGGCCAAUAUGCAUCAGAUUUCCACUACUUUUAGUACUAUUAUUUUUUUAUGUAUCGUAAAAAUACCGAUUGGACAAAUUCUUUUUAAAAUUGUGUAAUUCAAAUUUCAGUAUGGUUUUCACAAUUAUUUUCGUCAAAUUACAUUGGUCAUUACAGAAUCGAAAAUCUGCGUAUAAUUGCACUCACAUUUAAUAUAAUAUAAUAUCAUAACAUUUUUGUUGAUUCGUCGUGUUGCUUUAUCAAUUAAUAAUAAUAAAUAUUAUUAUGUUUCGAUCCUUAGUUCACAAACUUUCCAAAAGAUUCGAACAAUUCAAACCUACUAUUCAGACGGACUGAUUUCGGAUCUGAACCAAAACCAAAUGACAGAUCAACAUGGAUCAACGAUGGAUCGACGUCCCACCUUCGACGACAAGAACAGAACGCAAUUUAGUCUGUGUUCUAGUCUAUGGACAUGUUUUUCUUAGUAAUCUUGCUCUGCUUUUUAUGUGUAGCAACUUUUCUGAGAGCUCAAGUUGUCAAGAUGG